UUAGAAUUAUAAGGUUCUAUCUCCACUCCACUAUUAAUAAAAUAAAAAGGUUCCAUCUCACAAAACAUAAACCGAGUUGGGAUUAUAAGGUUCUAUCUCCAGUAGAUUCAAUAUCCAAUCAAAACCCUGAAUGAACACAGACGGACCAAUCAAAUCCCACCUCUUAGCUCUGUAGCCUGGACACAGAGCUAAGGGCUGGACAUUAGCCUGCCCUGGACAUCUGAAGCCAGCGAUGGCGACCAAAAGACUUAAAUGUACAGACACCACUAGAAGAGAUCGAAAUGAUGAUAAUGGUGGAAGUCCUCCAAAGAGAGUGGGAGCGGCAAAGAGGACAGUAUCUAGUGCCAUGCCAGGAGAGGCAGAGACUCCCAGAGCAGCAGCGAGAGGGACAGUAGCAGAGACACCCAGGGCCAGGGCAGCAGAGACAGAUACAUAACAAAACAGACAUACAGAAUAAUAAAUAAUAAAAAAGUGACAUAGUUUAAUGAAAUAAAUGACCAGUUUUUAAAAUGUUUCCGAGAGGGGGUGGGGGUUUUGUUCAGCUGUAAUUUUAAAUGUCCAUGUACUUUGAACUUUGAAAAAAAAAAAAAAAAAUUUCUUACAAAC